rnacentral:tRNA from 1 species
GGUAGUAGCUCAGUCGGUAGAGCAUCAGCUUCCCAAGCUGAGGGUCGCGGGUUCGAGCCCCGUCUAC